rnacentral:rRNA from 1 species
UGUGAACUCGAAGAGUAGGGCGGGACACGUGGUAUCCUGUCUGAAUAUGGGGGGACCAUCCUCCAAGGCUAAAUACUCCUGACUGACCGAUAGUGAACCAGUACCGUGAGGGAAAGGCGAAAAGAACCCCGGCGAGGGGAGUGAAAAAGAACCUGAAACCGUGUACGUACAAGCAGUGGGAGCACCUUCGUGGUGUGACUGCGUACCUUUUGUAUAAUGGGUCAGCGACUUAUAUUCUGUAGCAAGGUUAACCGUAUAGGGGAGCCGAAGGGAAACCGAGUCUUAACUGGGCGUUAAGUUGCAGGGUAUAGACCCGAAACCCGGUGAUCUAGCCAUGGGCAGGUUGAAGGUUGGGUAACACUAACUGGAGGACCGAACCGACUAAUGUUGAAAAAUUAGCGGAUGACUUGUGGCUGGGGGUGAAAGGCCAAUCAAACCGGGAGAUAGCUGGUUCUCCCCGAAAGCUAUUUAGGUAGCGCCUCGUGAACUCAUCUUCGGGGGUAGAGCACUGUUUCGGCUAGGGGGCCAUCCCGGCUUACCAACCCGAUGCAAACUACGAAUACCGAAGAAUGUUAUCACGGGAGACACACGGCGGGUGCUAACGUCCGUCGUGAAGAGGGAAACAACCCAGACCGCCAGCUAAGGUCCCAAAGUCAUGGUUAAGUGGGAAACGAUGUGGGAAGGCCCAGACAGCCAGGAUGUUGGCUUAGAAGCAGCCAUCAUUUAAAGAAAGCGUAAUAGCUCACUGGUCGAGUCGGCCUGCGCGGAAGAUGUAACGGGGCUAAACCAUGCACCGAAGCUGCGGCAGCGACACUAUGUGUUGUUGGGUAGGGGAGCGUUCUGUAAGCCGUUGAAGGUGGCCUGUGAGGGUUGCUGGAGGUAUCAGAAGUGCGAAUGCUGACAUAAGUAACGAUAAAGCGGGUGAAAAGCCCGCUCGCCGGAAGACCAAGGGUUCCUGUCCAACGUUAAUCGGGGCAGGGUGAGUCGACCCCUAAGGCGAGGCCGAAAGGCGUAGUCGAUGGGAAACAGGUUAAUAUUCCUGUACUUGGUGUUACUGCGAAGGGGGGACGGAGAAGGCUAUGUUAGCCGGGCGACGGUUGUCCCGGUUUAAGCAUGUAGGCGGAGGUUCCAGGUAAAUCCGGUACCUUUUUAACGCUGAGGUGUGAUGACGAGGCACUACGGUGCUGAAGUGACAAAUGCCCUGCUUCCAGGAAAAGCCUCUAAGCAUCAGGUAACAUCAAAUCGUACCCCAAACCGACACAGGUGGUCAGGUAGAGAAUACCAAGGCGCUUGAGAGAACUCGGGUGAAGGAACUAGGCAAAAUGGUGCCGUAACUUCGGGAGAAGGCACGCUGAUAUGUAGGUGAAGCCCCUGCGGGUGGAGCUGAAAUCAGUCGAAGAUACCAGCUGGCUGCAACUGUUUAUUAAAAACACAGCACUGUGCAAACACGAAAGUGGACGUAUACGGUGUGACGCCUGCCCGGUGCCGGAAGGUUAAUUGAUGGGGUUAGCGGUAACGCGAAGCUCUUGAUCGAAGCCCCGGUAAACGGCGGCCGUAACUAUAACGGUCCUAAGGUAGCGAAAUUCCUUGUCGGGUAAGUUCCGACCUGCACGAAUGGCGUAAUGAUGGCCAGGCUGUCUCCACCCGAGACUCAGUGAAAUUGAACUCGCUGUGAAGAUGCAGUGUACCCGCGGCAAGACGGAAAGACCCCGUGAACCUUUACUAUAGCUUGACACUGAACACUGGUCCUUGAUGUGUAGGAUAGGUGGGAGGCUUUGAAGCGUGGACGCCAGUCUGCGUGGAGCCAACCUUGAAAUACCACCCUUUAAUGGCUGGUGUUCUAACGUAGACCCGUGAUCCGGGUUGCGGACAGUGUCUGGUGGGUAGUUUGACUGGGGCGGUCUCCUCCCAAAGAGUAACGGAGGAGCACGAAGGUUAGCUAAUCCUGGUCGG